UUAAUCCCAGACCUCCAGUCAUUGGGCAGCUCCUCAGAGGCAAGAAGUCAACACCAUGGCAACCCGACAAGCCUAUCAAAUCACCGGCUGGCGUGACAGCAGCAACACUGCAGGCAGGAGUGGGCUGGGCGGAAGAGCAGAGUGGCCACCGCGCUCAGGAUGGAUACCAUCUCCAUAGAGUUCAUUCUUGACCUUACCUGAAAAAAUGGAAAAAUGACAAAUUUGAAAAACCAACAAGAAGAUAUAGAUUAAAAUACCUAAAACUAGGGGGUUUGAAACAGUUAUUCCUGAAUCAAAUGACAAGCAACUUUAUUUGAACUAUAUUUUUAUUUAAUAGAAAAAUUUACUAUAUAUUUUUACUUCAUAGGAAAAUUUCAAAUAAGUUCUAAUUAUCAUAUUCAUUUUCUGAUAGUUAUUUCAAUUUUCAAAAAACUAAAUAAAUUUAAAUUUUAUUGAUGUAAUUUUAACCUAAGUAUCUUAAGUCUCCAAUUAUCUCUUUCUUUUAUCUCAAAUGUUCACUUUUUUGUUAGUGGCUGUACACAUACACAAAUACACACACACACACAAAGAGUGAGAGAGGAGAGAGAUAAAAGCGAUCAAUGAUAUUUAUUUUUAUAACAUAAAACCUUUAUACACAUUUUCAAAACAUGUUAAUAUUCUACCUUAAUAUCUCUUUACAAAAAUAUAAAUUUAUUUUCUCCAUUUCUGCACAUACACACACACACACACAUACACAGACAGCCCUAUGCAAAUCUUUGUUAUGAGAAUGCUCUUCUUCCCUAAAGAAAUACAAAGAUGAACCAUAUAUGUGUGUAUGUAUAUAUAGAUUUUACAUUUGUAUUUUUCACAGAUAAUAGAUAUAUAAAAGUACUCUGUGUGUAAGAAGACUACUAUUAAUUUCUUUAAUAUGAUAUUCUGCUUAUAUGUUUUUUCUGUAAGUAUAUGGAAAUCAAAUAAAAUUAGGAUGUAAAUCCCAAUUAGCUAUUCAGUUUGUAUAUUUUUAGUUUAAUAAAAUUGCUUUAGAAUUUGGAUAGAUGUGCUAACAAAUAUUGUAAAACAUUUCUAUUUUAUGACAAAUUAAUGACAAUACUUUCAUUGUUAAAUAUGUAAAAUUAGGACUACAUAAAGUGUUUAUAUGUUUUAAAAGCUACAUAAUUAAAUGGAAGACAAUGUAGUAAUCACCUUAAUUUGUUCAUAUUCACUCUAAUUAUAAAAACAAAAUGUGUCCUGAUAAAAUGUCAUGUGAAUGUGUGUGUGUGUAUUUUGUUUUCAUAGAUUACAAAUCAUUUAAAAAGGAUAAUGUCUCAAAGAAUGCAAUACUGCUGCUAUUAAAGUUCACUGCUGAUGUAAAAUGUUUCUUCUGACUAGGUUAUACUCAUCCAUAUAUUUAUGGAAAAGAAAUUUAUUUGAAAUUUCUGCAUUCAGUCCAGAAUGAUUAGCUGCAAAAAUUAAUAUAAUGAAAUGAUAUGCAUCUGUUUUUAGUAUCAGCUUGGUAAUCUAUAGAGAUAGUCAGUAUAGGUCUUUAAUAUUAAACUUUAAAUGCCUCCUCAAUAUGAAUAUUCAUAAGGUUUAUAAUAAUUAUAAUUUAGAAUCAUGUUUCCUCUACAGGUGGGUCUUAACAGACUGACAUAACAAAAAUUAACUUUAUUUACCGUUUACAAAGGUAAUCGAAGCCAAAUAAUUUUGGAAAACUUAGCUUCUUUUAGAAGUUAUUAUGGAACGUGACUCAGAAUUUUAUGUUUUGAGAUGAUGGAAAUAACAUUUACUUGCAUGUAACUGUGCUAUUGUUAAUUUAAAAAGAUUUUGGAGAAAAAUAUUAACACCUUUGUUCACCUGAAACUUAUAUUUUACUAUUUUGUUGCUGUUGGUUUUAAUUUGUGCUCAUUGCUUGUGCUUAAAUUUUCUUCAUUAAGAGUGUUUUCUUAUGUUUAAGUUAAUAUGUAAGCAUCCAAUUUUACUAAAUAUAAGAGUGUCACAUGAUAUAUGAACUAGUCUGAAACUUUAAUAAUUGAGUUGGUGGAAAUAUACUUAAUAUAUAAAUACAUGGUAAUCAAAGAACGUUUUAAGCUGGAAAUGCCCAGUAAUAUUUGUGUAUCUCAGUUGGGGCUGGAAUUUAUUGUGGAUUACCUGCAUACAUGCAUAGACACAGUGAUACCUAAAUACUAUCAGACUUAGGUUAUGGAUUUCUUUUAAAAGGUAAAAUGCUGUCA